rnacentral:rRNA from 1 species
GACGAACGCUGGCGGCGUGCUUAACACAUGCAAGUCGAACGGAAAGGCCCUGCUUUUGUGGGGUGCUCGAGUGGCGAACGGGUGAGUAACACGUGAGUAACCUGCCCUUGACUUUGGGAUAACUUCAGGAAACUGGGGCUAAUACCGGAUAGGAGCUCCUGCUGCAUGGUGGGGGUUGGAAAGUUUCGGCGGUUGGGGAUGGACUCGCGGCUUAUUAGCUUGUUGGUGGGGUAGUGGCUUACCAAGGCUUUGACGGGUAGCCGGCCUGAGAGGGUGACCGGCCACAUUGGGACUGAGAUACGGCCCAGACUCCUACGGGAGGCAGCAGUGGAGAAUAUUGCACAAUGGGCGGAAGCCUGAUGCAGCAACGCCGCGUGCGGGAUGACGGCCUUCGGGUUGUAAACCGCUUUCGCCUGUGACGAAGCGUGAGUGACGGUAAUGGGUAAAGAAGCACCGGCUAACUACGUG